UCGGACAUGGUGUAGGGUACACCGCCUCUCGCAUUGCGAAAGAAUUCAUGUUGGAGGCAGAGCGGGGUUCGACUCCCCGUGUCCGAA